rnacentral:RNase_P_RNA from 1 species
CUGGCCGACCAGACGAUCGCCGGGCCCGUAACAUUCGGGUUCGGAGGAAAGUCCGGGCUCCACAGGGCGCGACGCUGGGUAACGCCCAGCGAGGGCGACUUCGGGCAAGCGCAACAGAAAGCAGACCGCCUCCAGGUCCCAGGGCCAGGAGGUAAGGGUGAAACGGCGAGGUAAGAGCUCACCGGCCGGUUGGGUGACCAGCCGGGCCAGGCAAGCCCCGUUGGGAGCAAGACCGAAUAGGGAGACACAUGGGGCGGCCCGUCCCUGUCUUCGGGUAGGUCGCUGGAUCGCCGGGGCAACCCGGCGACUAGAGGAAUGAUCGUCGGGCCAGGGCCGCCAGGGCGGUUUCUGGUCGCACAGAACCCGGCUUAUAGGUCACCAGUUCU